GUAUAGUCUCAUCCGAGCUCAAGCCUUUGACGCUCAGUGUGGUUGCACCUGUGUGGGCGAGGUAAAUCCACUAUGAAAAGACCCUGAAGUGACGCCUUCAGGAUGCCGAAAAUAAUUAUGACUACAUGUGCUCCCAGUACAAGGGGGUGGCCCUCCAGGC